UUGAGUGCCAGCACCUAGCUGUGCUGUCAGUAAGAAGGUAGCCGGCGCCUUUCGAAGCACUAUCUAUUUCUAGAUCGGGCCUUUCUCGCUUGUUUAGUAAAGUCAAGUUUUUGGCCUUAUCUUGCAGAUGACGACGACGUCGAGUUGACGGCAGAGAAAGAUUCGGCAUUCAGGCGAGCCACCCGGUGGUGUGGUAUGUAGUGGGUUUAGUAUGCCCCGCCCAAACAAACGGCUCCGAAACAAAUAAAAAGGUGUGUGCCGCACUCACGAAUAGUCACAGGCCACUGUUCCAUAUCACUACAUGUGAAUGCUUUUUAGACUUUCUCAAUGCGUCUAACUUAUAUUGUGCUCUCUACAAUAAAUUAUCUAACUUUGCAUUAAAGUAAAAAUUGCAU
rnacentral:lncRNA from 1 species